UCACAAUUGUUCCCGACAACAUAAACACCACCGCCACACCUAAUCUUAUUUUAUUGCUUUCAUUUACCAACCUUGUCCAUCUCCAUACAUUGCUUGCAAUUACAUACCACCACCUUAUAACUCCAUCUUAUGCUACCCACACAUCUCAUACAUGCCAACUUCACACCAUUCUAUCAGUUUCUAAAAUUUCAUUUGUGUAAUGCAUUAUGACCACAUGCCACAACACCAACGAAACCAACACACAAUCCCAAUUUCUCCAACACGCCAUCCCCUCUCCAAUACCUAUUUUAAACCAUGAUUUCUUUUCCCCCAAAGCCAGCAGCAUACCACUUAGUACCCUUCUUCAACUCUCCCUCUUGGAUACCAUUCACAAACCCCAAAUGCAUGCUUGUUUUCUUCCCUAUUUCCCUAAGCCAUGCUCUUCAAUAGCUUAAAGAGGUGUUCUUAGCAUCUGUCAACGGAACUUGAAUUGCAUAGGUGUUGUCCUCCCGUAGUAUAGGAAGCAAAAAGGUCACACGUGCCAAUCGGAUAUUCGCACUAAAAGAUAUGCUGAUUGCAAGUUUGACAAACAAGAUGCACGAGGAACUCGAACGAAACUCGAAGGACAAACAGCAGACUCCUCGCCAAUCUUAGGUUCGGGGCGUGUGAGAUAAUCCACUGUAGGUGGAUGUUUAAUGAUUGUUGGGAGCACCUCGCUCCCGACAUCUUAUAGUUCCGUGCAAUAACAUAUUUUGUGUAAUGUGAUUGGCUCUGUGAAUUGGGAUUGAGAUUUGUGCUUGUGCCAAUUGUGAUUGGCUCUAUGAAUUAGUUCUGAGAUAUUGUAGUCGUGUGAAUUUAAUACUAAUUGAGUGCUUUUGAUCUGUCCUAGGUGAGACUUUGAACAUUCUUAAAAUGGUUGAAGUUAUACAACUAAGAUUAGCAUAUAAGAUAUAGGAUAUAUCAUGUGUUAGUGAAAGGAAUGUGAUUGUGUUGGUGUGUAAUGACACGUGAUUGUUUUGAUGACAUGAAUAUAGUGUGAGAAUAUGAAUGAUUAUGUUUCUUUCUAA